rnacentral:rRNA from 1 species
UACGUAGGGUGCAAGCGUUAAUCGGAAUUACUGGGCGUAAAGCGUGCGCAGGCGGUUAUGUAAGACAGAUGUGAAAUGCCCGGGCUUAACCUGGGAACUGCAUUUGUGACUGCAUGGCUAGAAUCUGGCAGAGGGGGGUAGAAUUCCACGUGUAGCAGUGAAAUGCGUAGAUAUGUGGGAGGAACACCCGAUGGCGAAGGCAGCCCCCUGGGUCAAGAUUGACGCUCAUGCACGAAAGCGUGGGGAGCAAACAGG